rnacentral:rRNA from 1 species
GACGAACGCUGGCGGCGUGCUUAACACAUGCAAGUCGAACGGAAAGGCCCUGCUUUUGUGGGGUGCUCGAGUGGCGAACGGGUGAGUAACACGUGAGUAACCUGCCCUUGACUUUGGGAUAACUUCAGGAAACUGGGGCUAAUACCGGAUAGGAGCUCCUGCUGCAUGGUGGGGGUUGGAAAGUUUCGGCGGUUGGGGAUGGACUCGCGGCUUAUCAGCUUGUUGGUGGGGUAGUGGCUUACCAAGGCUUUGACGGGUAGCCGGCCUGAGAGGGUGACCGGCCACAUUGGGCCUGAGAUACGGCCCAGAGUCCUACGGGAGGCAGAAGUGGGGAAUAUUGCACAAUGGGCGGAAGCCUGAUGCAGCAACGCCGCGUGCGGGAUGACGGCCUUCGGGUUGUAAACCGCUUUCGCCUGUGACGAAGCGUGAGUGACGGUAAUGGGUAAAGAAGCACCGGCUAACUACGUG